GUUGAAACACCGGUUUUCGUACGAUCACUGAAGUUAAGCAACAUUGAACCUGGCCAGUACCUAGAUGGGUGACUGCUUGGCAAUACCAGAUGU